UACAGAGGUCCCGAGCGUUUGUUCGGAUUCACUGGGCGUAAAGGGUGCGUAGGUGGUGACGUAAGUCGGAUGUGAAAUCUCGGAGCUCAACUCCGAAACGGCAUUGGAAACUGCGUUGCUAGAGGGUUGGAGGGGGGACUGGAAUGCUUGGUGUAGCAGUGAAAUGCGUAGAUAUCAAGCGGAACACCAGUGGCGAAGGCGAGUCCCUGGACAACACCUGACACUGAGGCACGAAAGCUAGGGGAGCAAACAGG
rnacentral:rRNA from 1 species